rnacentral:rRNA from 1 species
UACGUAGGUGGCAAGCGUUGUCCGGAUUUAUCGGGUUUAAAGGGUGCGUAGGCGGCCCUGUAAGUCAGUGCUGAAAUAUCCCGGCUUAACCGGGAGGGUGGCAUUGAUACUGCGGGGCUAGAGUACAGAUGAGGUAGGCGGAAUUGACGGUGUAGCGGUGAAAUGCUUAGAUAUCGUCAAGAACACCUAUAGCGAAGGCAGCUUACUAGGCUGUAACUGACGCUGAGGCACGAAAGUGUGGGGAUCAAACAGG